ACUUGAGAAUGGCAGCCAAUAAGGAGCAGAGUUUCCCCUCCGUCUCAGCCUCCCUGCCACUGAAAGUGAUGCUGCGGGACACAGAGGGGAGGAGGGAGGGAGGCAGGGGGUUAGAGAGAUACAGAGGGAGAUAGAAAGAGGGAGUGAAUGAGAGAGAGAGAGAGAGAGAGAGAGAGAGAGAGAGAGACGCAGCUGGGCAGGGGACUGCAAGCCACAGAGGUUAUGCAGCAGUGAAGGACUCCGUACCGCUCCGCACCUCUCAGCGUUUAAGGAGAGUCUCCCAGCUGGACACCGUCAAUCCCACACCCCACCAUUAGGUGUCAUCCAAUGACACUUUCCAACAUGAACCGGCGGAGCCAGGUGGUGAUCCAGGCCAAGGACACGGCAGGGCAGAUGCGGGCGGGUUCCCCGAAUCACCAUGGCCAUCAUCAUGUUGUUGGAUGUCAAUGACAGCCCCCCCCCCCCCGGUUCCCUCAGGUUACAUGAGAAGGCCGCAAGUGAAGUGAGCUGGGAGAAAGUGAGACCUUAUGUGGAGGUCAGAUACCAACAGAAGGGAUGCCACAGCUGGCAGGAGCUGACCCAGACCACUCCUCUCUCUAGAUGACAGGGAGGCAGAUGCCAGGGGUAUGUGGCUCCCGAUUGGCCGCCAUGCACAAGUUCCUGAUUGAAAGAGGAGGAAGGGGAAAGGAGUCAAAAGAAGAGUGUAAAGAAGGGACCAAUGAGGAGUGCACUGGAGAUGGAUGGAGAGAAGCUCUGUCUCUCCAUGGCUCCAUUCAAAUCCCACCAAGUGACAUUAUGGAUGCCAAUGAAUAUUGUAUGACAAGGGGCUUUUCACCCUGUUUCACACAGAUCCUGUAAAAAAAACACCAUAUUUGUUUUAUUUGCCCACUUUGGUAUUAAUUUUAAGCAAUGUUUUUCUGUGUAUGUUUGUAUAUUUACCCGUUGUGUACAUGGGACUUUCAGGAAACAUAAAGCAUAUACACUCACCUAAAGGAUUAUUAGGAACACCAUACUAAUACGGUGUUUGACCCCCUUUCGCCUUA